rnacentral:rRNA from 1 species
AGUCUGACGGAGCAACGCCGCGUGAGUGAUGAAGGUUUUCGGAUCGUAAAACUCUGUUGUUAGGGAAGAACAAGUACCGUUCGAAUAGGGCGGUACCUUGACGGUACCUAACCAGAAAGCCACGGCUAACUACGUGCCAGCAGCCGCGGUAAUACGUAGGUGGCAAGCGUUGUCCGGAAUUAUUGGGCGUAAAGCGCGCGCAGGCGGUUUCUUAAGUCUGAUGUGAAAGCCCCCGGCUCAACCGGGGAGGGUCAUUGGAAACUGGGGAACUUGAGUGCAGAAGAGGAGAGUGGAAUUCCACGUGUAGCGGUGAAAUGCGUAGAGAUGUGGAGGAACACCAGUGGCGAAGGCGACUCUCUGGUCUGUAACUGACGCUGAGGCGCGAAAGCGUGGGGAGCGAACAGGAUUAGAUACCCUGGUAGUCCACGCCGUAAACGAUGAGUGCUAAGUGUUAGAGGGUUUCCGCCCUUUAGUGCUGCAGCAAACGCAUUAAGCACUCCGCCUGGGGAGUACGGUCGCAAGACUGAAACUCAAAGGAAUUGACGGGGGCCCGCACAAGCGGUGGAGCAUGUGGUUUAAUUCGAAGCAACGCGAAGAACCUUACCAGGUCUUGACAUCCUCUGACAACCCUAGAGAUAGGGCUUCCCCUUCGGGGGCAGAGUGACAGGUGGUGCAUGGUUGUCGUCAGCUCGUGUCGUGAGAUGUUGGGUUAAGUCCCG